AACAAACGCUGGCGGCGUGCCUAAUACAUGCAAGUCGAACGGGGAAAGCUUUCGGGUGAGUACUAGUGGCGCACGGGUGAGUAACGCGUGGAUAAUCUGCCUUAGAGUGGGGGAUAACUAGUCGAAAGAUUAGCUAAUACCGCAUAAGACAACAAGAACUGCUGUUCACGGGGUCAAAGGUUUUUCGCUCUAAGAUGAGUCAGCGUAAGAUAAGUUAGUUGGUGAGUUAAUGGCUCACCAAGGCGACGAUCUUUAACUGGUCUGAGAGGAUGAUCAGUCACACUGAAACUGAGACACGGUCCAGACUCCUACGGGAGGAAGCAGUAGGGAAUAUUGCACAAUGGAGGAAACUCUGAUGCAGCGACGCCGCGUGAGUGAUGAAGGCCUUCGGGUCGUAAAGCUCUGUCGCAAGGGAAUAACACAAUGAAUGUACCUUGCAAGAAAGGAUCGGCUAACUUCGUGCCAGCAGCCGCCGUAAGAC
rnacentral:rRNA from 1 species